rnacentral:rRNA from 1 species
GACGAACGCUGGCGGCGUGCCUAAUACAUGCAAGUCGAGCGGACCUCUUCGGAGGUCAGCGGCGGACGGGUGAGUAACACGUGGGCAACCUGCCUGUAAGACUGGGAUAACACCGGGAAACCGGUGCUAAUACCGGAUAAUCCUUUUCCUCACAUGAGGGGAAGCUGAAAGACGGCAUCUCGCUGUCACUUACAGAUGGGCCCGCGGCGCAUUAGCUAGUUGGUGAGGUAACGGCUCACCAAGGCUACGAUGCGUAGCCGACCUGAGAGGGUGAUCGGCCACACUGGGACUGAGCCACGGCCCAGACGCCGACGGGAGGCAGCAGUAGGGAAUCUUCCGCAAUGGACGAAAGUCUGACGGAGCAACGCCGCGUGAGCGAAGAAGGCCUUCGGGUCGUAAAGCUCUGUUGUCAGGGAAGAACAAGUACCGGAGUAACUGCCGGUACCUUGACGGUACCUGACCAGAAAGCCACGGCUAACUACGUGCCAGCAGCCGCAGUAAAAC